rnacentral:rRNA from 1 species
UACGUAGGAGGCGAGCGUUGUCCGGAUUGACUGGGCGUAAAGGGCGCGUAGGCGGCUUGUACAGUCAGACGUGAAAUUCCUGGGCUCAACCUGGGGGCUGCGUUUGAUACGUGCGGGCUUGAGUUCGGAAGAGGGUCGUGGAAUUCCCAGUGUAGAGGUGAAAUUCGUAGAUAUUGGGAAGAACACCGGUGGCGAAGGCGACUUCCUGGCCUGUUCUUGACGCUGAGGCGCGAAAGCUAGGGUAGCAAACGGG